rnacentral:rRNA from 1 species
AGUAAAAGUCGUAACAAGGUUUCCGUAGGUGAACCUGCGGAAGGAUCAUUAAAGAUUCGGGUUUCGGCCCUACCUCAUCGGCUGUGCGCUUCGGCUGCACGCCGUUGAAUAACUUCACCCCUGUGCACCUCUUCGGUCGUGGCGCUUCACGGCGUCGCUUCCGCUUUACAUUUAACAACGAACAGUCUGGAAUGUAAUAACUAUAAACAUACCAACUUUCAACAACGGAUCUCUUGGCUCUCGCAUCGAUGAAGAACGCAGCGAAAUGCGAUAAGUAAUGUGAAUUGCAGAAUUCAGUGAAUCAUCGAAUCUUUGAACGCAUCUUGCGCUCCAUGGUAUUCCGUGGAGCAUGCCUGUUUGAGUGUCACGUCAACCCUCACCCUCGCGAUGUCACAGUUGCAAGAGUGGAUUUGGACCGUGCCGUAGUCGGCUCGUCCUGAAAUGCAUUAGCUUGCGCUUUUAGAGUGCGGGGCAUCGGUGUGAUAAUUAUCUGCGCCAACGCCCUUACGCCUCUUCAGUGGUGUGGCUUCUAAUCGUCCCUCGAGGACACUUUUAAAGCUUUGGCCUCAAAUCAGGUAGGACUACCCGCUGAACUUAAGCAUAUCAAUAAGCGGAGGA